ensembl:lncRNA AFDN-DT AFDN divergent transcript
GCGCGGCGCCGCCGCACCUCCGGGCCGCUCCACUAGGUGCUGCUGCCGCGGCCGCCAGGGAGGGAGGUGUCGGAGGGCGGGCCCCGCGCGGUGCUAGGGUUCCGUCUGGACUGGCGGUGGUGGGUCCCAACCGGCGGUACCGGGUUCCUUCCCGACCAGCGGUGCUAGGUUCGGUUCGGACGCGCGCUGCUGGAUCUAAAUGGGCAGUGCUGGGUCCGAUGGGUGGUGCUGUGUUGGGUCCGGACGCGCGGUGCAGAGUCCGGACGGGCGGUGCUGGAUCCAAAUGGGCGGUGCUGGAUCUGGACGGGCGGUGAUGGGUCCGAUGGGCGGUGCUAUGUUCGGUUCGGACGGGCGGUGCUAGGUCUAAAUGGGCGCUGCUGGGUCCGAUGGGCGGUGCUGCGUUCGGUCCGGACGGGCGGGGACGGGCGGUGCUGGGUCCAAAUGGGUGGUGAUGGAUCUGUGGACGGGCGGUGCUGGUUCCAGACGGGCGGUGCUGGGUCCAGACGGGCGGUGGGUCCGAUGGGCGGUGCUAGGUUCGGUUCGGAUGGGUGGUGCUAGGUCUAAAUGGGCGGCGCCGGAUCCGAUGGGCGGUGCUGGGUUCGGUCCGGACUGGCGGGUCCGGGUCUGGACGGGCGGUGCUGGAUCCAAAUGGGGGUGCAGUGCUGGAUCUGGACGGGCGGUGCUGGGUCCGAACGGGCGAUGGGUCCCAUGGGCGGUGCUAGGUUCGGUUCGGACUGGCGGUGCUGGGUCUAAAUGGGCGGCGCUGGGUCCGAUGGGUGGUACUGGGUCCGGACGGGCGGUUCUGGGUCUGGACGGGCGGUGCAGUAUCCAAAUGGGCGCUGCUGGGUCCGGACGGGCGGUGCUAGGUUCGGUCCGGACGGGUGGUGCUGGGUCUAAAUGGGCGGUGCUAGGCUCAGCAGGGGACCGGUGGGCGUGGCGGCACAGGUACGGAGCGCAGGGCCGGUGGAGCGCCCUCUCCGAAGGGCCCUGCGCUCCCCGCGCUCGCUGCUCCUCCUGCCCGCGCAUUGCCCCGGGGCUGCUGCGUGUUUCUUCCAGGGUGAUUCCUUUCCGCUGGGUCACUUCAAAGCCGACCUUUUCAAGCUGUUUUCUUCCGCGGAGGACACGUUGUUAGGCUUUGUGUGCAUUUCAAGGGUCAUGUUUUCUGAACCGCGCUCUGCCGCUCUUGGGGUGUUCGAGCCCCCACACUGCUGUGCGGUGUUCCUCUCACAGAGUGAGGUUGGAGGGUCCCACUCCCUUUGUGUGUCUCCUUAGAAAACGCCUCUUCUCUCAGACACAUCGUUAUCUGCCAAUUCUUCGCAGACGUAGAGAACGGACUGCAGAGUUAAUAAACGUCGAGGGGAAGCUUUGAUGCGCCCCAUUUGGCCCUGAGAGAUGCCACGUGAUCGUCAUUUUAAAUCCUGUACGUGUCCCCGUGGACGUGGAAACCUGAAAUUAAUUUCAGUAGCAAGCUUUGUGAAUUGUAGGGAUUUUUUUUCAUAAGGUGUCUUUUUUGUAAUUGCCCCUCCCCUCCCCCACCCUUUGUUUUGGCUGCAGAGCGCCAUCUCUGCAGUCUCCCCACGCCGGGUUCAGUCAGGCGAAGUUGCGUUAUCUGUGAUGUGUUGUAACAAAAAGCGUUUAUCUUUGAAACACUAAGGCAAGUAAUGAGAAGAGUGAACUAUAUUUGACAAAGCCUUUUUAUUUUUGUCAUUACUUUUUUUUCCAAUGUGGAAAUAAUUUUUCUCUCCACCAACUGGAUUUCCUCUUUUGCAGACAAUUAAAGAAUUCUGUCAUCCCCACUGGGUUCUGUCUUUUCUACCGCACUUGUCCAGUACAGCUACAUAAGGAGGCUUCUCAGCAGAGGAGCCUGGGGUGUUGAACCAGUGCCAUGAGGGAAUGAAUUAUUCAAUAGAUCGCUAGUCUCCUUUCUUAAAAUUAAAGUGUGGUGACUUGCAGAAAAGCAUCUGUGUCUAAAUGUCAUCUUCGUGUUCUAGCACUCGGUUUCUUUAUGCCUUUCAGUUCCUGGGCUUCCCGAUGGACUCGAGUUUUUACUAUGUGAGCAUCCCGGUGCCUGCACAGCAAGGACUCUCAUUGGGUUCCACACGUGCUGCGCAGAUCCCUGACGCAGCGUUCACUGAACCUCAACUGCAGGAGCUUCAUUCCUGAGGACGCUGUUACCAAGAAUGACUUGCCUCUUGAAGAAUGAGUUUGCAAAGCCGGCAGUUAGAUUGCUGAUGUCCAAAGUAAGUAUGUGUAGCAUCACUAAAGAGAAAAUUCAGGAUUCCUGGAAAACAGUUAUGGGCUCUCUGCAGUGUUAUUUUUGUAAUAAAAAACAUAUAGCAUAUGUGAAAUACCUACUGGGUGAUGCAGGACACAUAGAAGGCUCGAAAUUAAUGUGAAUCAUUCUCGUUUUUCUGACUGUCAUUAAAAGUCCCCAUUUGUAUUAUGUAUGAGUGGUAUAUCAAUAUCUAAACUACACUUUAUUGUAGGUCCCAACCAACAUUAGUUUAUUGACAAAUGUUUAAGAGCAGCCAAAAAUUCAUAGAAUACCUAUGAUUCUUAAAUCAUGAACACUCCCAUAACUGGUAUAUGUUUAGGACAUGAAAAUUUCCAGGCUGACAAAUAAUUUCGCUGUCAUCGGUCAAGACUCCAGGAUGAUAUUCUGAGCCAUAUGUUAAUUUUGAUAACCACCUAGAACAAUAAAAGGUAAACAUGC